rnacentral:tRNA from 1 species
UAGCCUAGUGAUUACGGCUAUGGAUUGCCAAUCCGGAGACGGCGGGUUCGAUUCCCGU